UCCAGGUUUGGGGAUCUUGGGUAGUAGAUAGAAUAACCCCGGUUAGGGCUCUAAGGGUAUGUUGAUAUCUUCCUGUGUUAGUGUAGCGAGUGUCCUGAGUAAUGGUGCAGUCUCUUAGUAUAUUCUUCAGUGGGAUCUGAGGAAAGUGGCCUGUAGAAUUUGGUAUUGGAGAGUUGUCUGGCAGCCUCCUUUUAUUAGUCAGACCUGUUCAUGAUGACCACAGCACCUCUUUUAUCAGCCACUUUGAUUAUAAUGUCAGGGUUCAUUGACAUCAACA